rnacentral:rRNA from 1 species
UACGGGGGGUGCAAGCGUUACUCGGAAUCACUGGGCGUAAAGAGCAUGUAGGCGGAUUAAUAAGUUUGAAGUGAAAUCCUAUAGCUUAACUAUAGAACUGCUUUGAAAACUGUUAAUCUAGAAUGUGGGAGAGGUAGAUGGAAUUUCUGGUGUAGGGGUAAAAUCCGUAGAGAUCAGAAGGAAUACCGAUUGCGAAGGCGAUCUACUGGAACAUUAUUGACGCUGAGAUGCGAAAGCGUGGGGAGCAAACAGGAUUAGAUACCCUGGUAGUCCACGCCCUAAACGAUGUACACUAGUUGUUGUGAGACUUGAUCUUGCAGUAAUGCAGUUAACACAUUAAGUGUACCGCCUGGGGAGUACGGUCGCAAGAUUAAAACUCAAAGGAAUAGACGGGGACCCGCACAAGCGGUGGAGCAUGUGGUUUAAUUCGACGAUACACGAAGAACCUUACCUGGACUUGACAUAGUAAGAACUUUCUAGAGAUAGAUUGGUGUCUGCUUGCAGAAACUUAUAUACAGGUGCUGCACGGCUGUCGUCAGCUCGUGUCGUGAGAUGUUGGGUUAAGUCCCGCAACGAGCGCAACCCUCGUGUUUAGUUGCUAACAGUUCGGCUGAGAACUCUAAACAGACUGCCUACGCAAGUAGGAGGAAGGUGAGGACGACGUCAAGUCAUCAUGGCCCUUACGUCCAGGGCUACACACGUGCUACAAUGGGAUAUACAAAGAGCGGCAAUACGGUGACGUGGAGCAAAUCUUAUAAAAUAUCUCCCAGUUCGGAUUGUAGUCUGCAACUCGACUACAUGAAGUUGGAAUCGCUAGUAAUCGUAGAUCAGCUAUGCUACGGUGAAUACGUCCCCGGGUCU